rnacentral:rRNA from 1 species
UAACGUUACCAAACUGUUGCCUCGGCGGGAUCUUCUGCCCCGGGUGCGUCGCAGCCCCGGACCAAGGCGCCCGCCGGAGGAAUCAACCAAAACUCUUAUUGUAUACCCCCUCGCGGGUUUUUUUUAUAAUCUGAGCCUUCUCGGCGCCUCUCGUAGGCGUUUCGAAAAUGAAUCAAAACUUUCAACAACGGAUCUCUUGGUUCUGGCAUCGAUGAAGAACGCAGCGAAAUGCGAUAAGUAAUGUGAAUUGCAGAAUUCAGUGAAUCAUCGAAUCUUUGAACGCACAUUGCGCCCGCCAGUAUUCUGGCGGGCAUGCCUGUCCGAGCGUCAUUUCAACCCUCGAACCCCUCCGGGGGGUCGGCGUUGGGGAUCGGCCUUCCUUCACGGGGGCCGUCUCCGAAAUACAGUGGCGGUCUCGCCGCAGCCUCUCCUGCGCAGUAGUUUGCACACUCGCAUCGGGAGCGCGGCGCGUCCACAGCCGUUAAACACCCAACUUUCUGAAAUGUUGACCUCGGAUCAAGUAGGAAUACCCGCUGAACUU